rnacentral:rRNA from 1 species
CCCUUAGAUGUCCGGGGCUGCACGCGCGCUACACUGAAGGAAUCAGCGUGCUAAAACCAUUGUCGAAAGGCAUUGGUAAACCCAUUAAAAUCCUACGUGAUUGGGAUCGGGAAUUGCAAUUAUUUCCCUUGAACGAGGAAUUCCCAGUAAGUGUGGGUCAUAAGCUCGCGUUGAUUACGUCCCUGCCCUUUGUACACACCGCCCGUCGCUGCCCGGGACUGAGCCGUUUCGAGAAAGGCGGGGACUGCUGCUGUCGGGGCUUUCGGGCCUUGGCUUCGGUGGAAACCGCUUUAAUCGCAGUGGCUUGAACCGGGCAAAAGUCGUAACA